rnacentral:rRNA from 3 species
CAACUUUUGACAAUGGAUCUCUUGGUUCUCGCAACGAUGAAGAACGCAGCAAAAUGCGAUAAGUAGUGUGAAUUGCAGAAUACGUGAAUCAUCGAAUCUUCGAACGCAUAUUGCACA